GGGAAUAUUGCACAAUGGGCGCAAGCCUGAUGCAGCCAUGCCGCGUGAAUGAUGAAGGCCUUAGGGUUGUAAAAUUCUUUCGCCAAGGAUGAUAAUGACACUACUUGGUAAAGAAGCCCCGGCUAACUUCGUGCCAGCAGCCGCGGUAAUACGAAGGGGGCUAGCGUUGUUCGGAAUUACUGGGCGUAAAGCGCACGCAGGCGGUCUGUUAAGUCAGAUGUGAAAUCCCCGGGCUCAACCUGGGAACUGCCUUUGUGACUGCAAGGCUAGAGUACGGCAGAGGGGGGUGGAAUUCCGCGUGUAGCAGUGAAAUGCGUAGAUAUGCGGAGGAACACCGAUGGCGAAGGCAAUCCCCUGGGCCUGUACUGACGCUCAUGCACGAAAGCGUGGGGAGCAAACAGGAUUAGAUACCCUGGUAGUCCAUGCCGUAAACGAUGUCUACUAGCCGUUGGGGCCUUUGAGGCUUUAGUGGCGCAGCUAACGCGAUAAGUAGACCGCCUGGGGAGUACGGUCGCAAGACUAA
rnacentral:rRNA from 1 species